rnacentral:misc_RNA from 1 species
AAUUCUCAACUCCCCUAGGAUUCCAUCUGUAGGGUGAGCUUGGACUUGGAGGUUUCUGCUGGCGUUCGCCGGCUCCUCUUGAAAUCAUUAGCUUUGAGUUGAUCUCGAUGGCUCGACCGGUGUGAUAAACAUCUACGCCGAUUUGUGCUGUCCUGAGCGACGACGUCGGAGACGCUCUGGCUUAUAACCGUCUUCACCAGAGGACGACUCCCUGAAC